rnacentral:rRNA from 1 species
CGGAGGGGCGUAGCGUUAUUCGGAAUUACUGGGCGUAAAGCGCACGUAGGCGGCUUUGUAAGUUAGAGGUGAAAGCCCGGAGCUCAACUCCGGAACUGCCUUUAAGACUGCAUCGCUUGAGUCCAGGAGAGGUGAGUGGAAUUCCGAGUGUAGAGGUGAAAUUCGUAGAUAUUCGGAAGAACACCAGUGGCGAAGGCGGCUCACUGGACUGGUAUUGACGCUGAGGUGCGAAAGCGUGGGGAGCAAACAGGAUU